GCGUAGCCUGCUCACUGACAAAGAUGUUAAAUAGCCGCGGUAUUUUGACCGUGCAAAGGUAGCAUAAUCAUUAGUUUUUUAAUUGGAAACUUGUAUGAAUGGUUGGACAAAGAAAAAGCUGUCUCUUUUAUUAAAAUUGAAAUUAACUUCUAAGUGAAAAGGCUUAGAUUUUCUAGAGGGACGAUAAGACCCUAUAAAGCUUUAUAAAUUAAGUAAGUUAGAACAAAUUUUAUAGAAUAAAGGUAAAUUUAAUAUAUUUAUUUGGUUGGGGCGACAAUGGUAUAAAUUAAAUAACUGCUAUUAAAAUUAAACAAUUAUAUUUGAUUAAAAUUAUAAUUGAUCCUUAUUAUGGAUUAAAAGAUCAAGUUACUUUAGGGAUAACAGCGUAAUUUCUUUUAAGAGUUCUUAUCAAAGAAGAAGUUUGCGACCUCGAUGUUGAAUUAAAAUGUCUUUAUAGUGCAGAAGCUAUAAAAGAAGGUCUGUUCGACCUUUAAUUUUUUACGUGAUCUGAG
rnacentral:rRNA from 1 species